rnacentral:rRNA from 1 species
GACGAGCCACACGAACGUUAUUCGGAAUUACUGGGCUUAAAGGGUGCGUAGGCGGCGCGGAAAGUUGGGUGUGAAAUCCCUCGGCUCAACCGAGGAACUGCGCCCAAAACUACCGUGCUCGAGGAAGAUAGAGGUGAGCGGAACUCACGGUGGAGCGGUGAAAUGCGUUGAUAUCGUGAGGAACACCCGUGGCGAAAGCGGCUCACUGGGUCUUCUCUGACGCUGAGGAGCGAAAGCCAGGGGAGCAAACGGG